UACGUAGGAGGCAAGCGUUGUCCGGAGUACUGGGCGUAAAGCGCACGCAGGCGGUCUUGUCAGUCUGUAGGGACAGGGCACAGCUCAACUGUGUCAGGCUUAUGGAAACUGCAAGACUUGAGGGCUUCAGAGGGAUGCGGAAUUCCAGGUGUAACGGUGAAAUGCGUAGAUAUCGGAAGGAACAUCAGUGGCGAAAGCGGCUUCCUGGACCAGUACCGACGUUCAGGCACGAAAGCGUGGGGAGCAAACGGG
rnacentral:rRNA from 1 species